GAUGAACGCUGGCGGCGUGCCUAAUACAUGCAAGUCGAGCGAACAGACGAGGAGCUUGUUCCUCUGACGUUAGCGGCGGACGGGUGAGUAACACGUGGAUAAUCUACCUAUAAGACUGGGAUAACUUCGGGAAACCGGAGCUAAUACCGGAUAAUAUAUUGAACCGCAUGGUUCAAUAGUGAAAGACGGUUUUGCUGUCACUUAUAGAUGUAUCCGCGCCGCAUUAGCUAGUUGGUAAGGUAACGGCUUACCAAGGCAACGAUGCGUAGCCGACCUGAGAGGGUGAUCGGCCACCCUGGAACUGAGACACGGUCCAGACUCCUACGGGAGGCAGCAGUAGGGAAUCUUCCGCAAUGGGCGAAAGCCUGACGGAGCAACGCCGCGUGAGUGAUGAAGGUCUUCGGAUCGUAAAACUCUGUUAUUAGGGAAGAACAAAUGUGUAAGUAACUAUGCACGUCUUGACGGUACCUAAUCAGAAAGCCACGGCUAACUACGUG
rnacentral:rRNA from 1 species